rnacentral:rRNA from 1 species
GACGAACGCUGGCGGCGUGCUUAACACAUGCAAGUCGAACGGUAAGGCCCUUCGGGGUACACGAGUGGCGAACGGGUGAGUAACACGUGGGUGAUCUGCCCUGCACUUCGGGAUAAGCCUGGGAAACUGGGUCUAAUACCGGAUAGGACCACUGCCUGCAUGGGUGGUGGUGGAAAGCUUUUGCGGUGUGGGAUGGGCCCGCGGCCUAUCAGCUUGUUGGUGGGGGGAUGGCCUACCAAGGCGACGACGGGUAGCCGGCCUGAGAGGGUGACCGGCCACACUGAGACUGAGAUACGGCCCAGACUCCUACGGGAGGCAGCAGUGGGGAAUAUUGCACAAUGGGCGCAAGCCUGAUGCAGCGACGCCGCGUGAGGGAUGACGGCCUUCGGGUUGUAAACCUCUUUCAGCACCGACGAAGCGCAAGUGACGGUAGGUGCAGAAGAAGGACCGGCCAACUACGUGCCAGCCGCCGCAGUAA